AUGGUCACUCCUUUCUCUCCCUCUCUCAGCCUUAUACUCACUCCUUUCUCUCCCUCUCUCAGCUGUAUACUCACUCCUUUCUCUCCCCCUCUCAGCCUUCUACUCACUCAUUUCUCUCCCUCUCUCAGCUGUAUACUCACUCAUUUCUCUCCCUCUCUCAGCCUUCUACUCACUCAUUUCUCUCCCUCUCUCAGCCUUCUACUCACUCCUUUCUCUCCCCCUCUCAGCUGUAUACUCACUCCUUUCUCUCCCUCUCUCAGCCUUCUACUCACUCAUUUCUCUCCCUCUCUCAGCCUUAUAAUCACUCCUUUCUCACCCUCUCUCAGCCUUAUACUCACUCCUUUCUCUCCCUCUCUCGGCUGUUUACUCACUCCUUUCUCUCCCUCUCUCAGCUGUAAACUCACUCCUUUCUCUCCAUCUCUCAGCCUUCUACUCACUCCUUUCUCUCCCUCUCUCAGCUGUUUACUCACUCCUUUCUCUCCCUCUCUCAGCUGUAUACUCACUCCUUUCUCUCCCUCUCUCAGCCUUCUACUCACUCCUUUCUCUCCCUCUCUCAGCUGUAUACUCACUCCUUUCUCUCCCUCUCUCAGCCGUAUACUCACUCCUUUCUCUCCCUCUCUCAGCUGCAUACUCACUCCUUUCUCUCCCUCUAUCAGCCUUAUGUUCACUCCUUUCUCUCCCUCUCAGCCAUAUACUCACUCAUUUCUCUCCCUCUCUCAGCCUUAUACUCACUCCUUUCUCUCCCUCUCUCAGCCUUAUACUCACUCCUUUCUCUCCCUCUCUCGGCUGUUUACUCACUCCUUUCUCUCCCUCUCUCAGCUGUAUACUCACUCCUUUCUCUCCCUCUCUCAGCCUUCUACUGACUCCUUUCUCUCCCUCUCGGCUGUUUACUCACUCCUUUCUCUCCCUCACUCAGCUGUAUACUCACUCCUUUCUCUCCCUCUCUUAGCCUUCUACUCACUCCUUUCUCUCCCUCUCUCAGCUGUAUACUCACUCCUUUCUCUCCCUCUCUCAGCCUUAUACUCACUCCUUUCUCUCCCUCUCUCAGCCUUAUACUCACUCCUUUCUCUCCCUCUCUCGGCUGUUUACUCACUCCUUUCUCUCCCUCUCUCAGCUGUAUACUCACUCCUUUCUCUCCCUCUCUCAGCCUUCUACUCACUCCUUUCUCUCCCUCUCUCAGCUGUAUACUCAAUCCUUUCUCUCCCUCUCUCAGCUGUAUACUCACUCCUUUCUCUCCCUCUCUCAGCCUUAUACUCACUCCUUUCUCUCCCUCUCUUGGCUGUUUACUCACUCCUUUUUCUCCCUCUCUCAGCUGUAAACUCACUCCUUUCUCUCCCUCUCGGCUGUUUACUCACUCCUUUCUCUCCUUCUCUCAGCUGUAUACACACUCCUUUCCCUCCCUCUCUCAGCUGCAUACUCACUCCUUUCCCCCCCUCCCUCAGCUAUGAACUCACUACUUUCUCUCCCUCUCGGCUGUUUACUCACUCCUGUCUCUCCAUCUCAGCCUUAUACUCACUCCUUUCUCUUGCUCUCUCAGCCUUAUAUUCACUGCUUUCCCCCCCUCUCUCAGCCGUAUAUUCACUCCCUUCUCUCCCUCUCUCAGUCAUGUACUCACUCCUUUCUCUCCCUCUCUCAGCUGUAUACUCACUCGUUUCUCUCCCCCUCUCAGCUGUACACUCACUCCUUUCUCUCGCUCUCAGCCAUAUACUCACUAAUUUCUCUCCCUCUCUCAGCCUUGUAUUCAUUCCUUUCUCUCCCUCUCUCAGCUGUAUACUCACUCCGUUUUCUCCCUCUAUCAGCUGUAUACUCACUCCAUUCUCUCCCUCUCUCAGCCUUAUAUUCACUCCUUUCUCUCCCUAUCUCAGCCUUAUACUCACUCCUUUCUCCCCCUCUCUCGGCUGUUUACUCACUCCUUUCUCUCAAUCUCUCAGCCAUAUACUCACUAAUUUCUCUCCCUCUCUCAGCCUUAUACUCACCCCUUUCUCUCCCUUUCUCAGUUGUAAACUCACUCCUUUCUCUCCCUCUCUCAGCCUUAUAUGCACUCCUUUCUCUCCCUCUAUCAGCCUUAUAUCCACUAUUUUCUCUCCCUCUCACAGCCUUAUAUUCACUCAUUUCUCCCCCUCUCAGCCAUAUACUCACUCCUUUCUCUCCCUCUCUCAGCCUUAUAGUCACACCUUUCUCUCCCUCUCUCAGCUGUAUACUCACUCCUCUCACUCCCUCUCUCAUCUGUAUACUCAUUCCUUUCUCUCCCUCUCUCAGCCUUAUAUUCACACAUUUAUCUCCCUCUCACAGCCUUAUAUUCACCAAUUUCUCUCCCUCUCAGCCAUAUACUCACUCCUUUCUCUUCCUCUCUCAGCCUUGUAUUCAUUCCUUUCUCUCCCUCUCUCAGCUGUAUACUCACUCCGUUUUCUCACUCUCUCAGCUGUAUACUCACUACAUUCUCUCCCUCUCUCAGCCUUAUAUUCACUUCUUUCUCUCCCUAUCUCAGCCUUAUACUCACUCCUUUCUCUCCCUCUCUCGGCUGUUUACUCACUCCUUUCUCUCAAUCUCUCAGCCAUAUACUCACUCAUUUCUCUCCCUCUCUCAGCCUUAUACUCACCCCUUUCUCCCCCUCUCUCAGUUGAAUACUCACUCCUUUCUCUCCCUCUCUCAGCCUUAUAUGCACUCCUUUCUCUCCCUCUAUCAGCCUUAUAUUCAGUAUUUUCUCUCCCUAUCACAGCCUUAUAUUCACUCAUUUCUCUCACUCUCAGCCAUAUACUCACUCCUUUCUCUCCCUCUCUCAGCUGUAUACUCACUCCUUUCUCUCCCUCUCUCAGCCUUAUAUUAACUCCUUUCUCCCCCUCUCUCAGCGUUAUAUUCAAACCUUUUUCUCCCUCUCUCAGCCAUAUACUCACUCCUUUUUCUCCCUCUCUCAGCUGUAUACUCACUCCUUUCCCUCACGCUCUCAGCUGUAUACUCACUCCUUUCUCUCCGUUUCACAGCCUUGUAUUCAUUCCUUUCUCUCCCUAUCUCAGCCUUAUACUCACUCCUUUCUCUCCCUCUCUCGGCUGUUUACUCACUCCUUUCUCUCAAUCUCUCAGCCAUAUACUCACUCAUUUCUCUCCCUCUCUCAGCCUUAUACUCACCCCUUUCUCUCCCUCUCUCAGUUGUAUACUCACUCAUUUCUCUCCCUCUCAGCCAUAUACUCACUCCUUUCUCUCCCUCUCUCAGCCUUAUAUUCACUCCUUUCUCUCCCUCUCUCAGCUGUAUACUCACUCCUUUCUCUCCCUCUCUCAGCCUUAUCUUCACUCCUUUCUCUCCCUCUCUCAGCUGUAUACUCAUUCCUUUCUCUCCCUCUCUCAGCUGUAUACUCACUCAUUUCUCUCCCUCUCUCAGUUGUAUAGUCACUCCUUUCUCUCCCUCUCUUUGCCUUAUAUGCACUCCUUUCUCUCCCUCUAUCAGCCUUAUAUUCACUAUUUUCUCUCCAUCUCACAGCCUUAUAUUCACUAA
ensembl:lncRNA